CGGCGGUAUGCUUAACACAUGCAAGUCGAACGGUAGCAGGCCUUCGGGCGCUGACGAGUGGCGGACGGCUGAGUAACGCGUAGGAAUCUGCCUGGUAGUGGGGGACAACGUGGGGAAACUCACGCUAAUACCGCAUACGCCCUACGGGGGAAAGCGGGGGCUCUUCGGACCUCGCGCUAUCAGAUGAGCCUGCGUUAGAUCAGCUAGUUGGUAGGGUAAAGGCCUACCAAGGCGACGAUCUAUAGCUGGUCUGAGAGGACGAUCAGCCACACUGGGACUGAGACACGGCCCAGACUCCUACGGGAGGCAGCAGUGGGGAAUAUUGGACAAUGGGCGCAAGCCUGAUCCAGCAAUACCGCGUGUGUGAAGAAGGCCUUAGGGUUGUAAAGCACUUUCAAUUGGGAGGAAAACCUGCCGGUCAAUACCCGGUAGCUUGACAUUACCUUUAGAAGAAGCACCGGCUAACUCCGUGCCAGCAGCCGCGGUAAUACGGAGGGUGCGAGCGUUAAUCGGAAUUACUGGGCGUAAAGCGUGCGUAGGCGGUUCGUUAAGUCAGAUGUGAAAGCCCCGGGCUUAACCUGGGAACUGCAUUUGAAACUGGCGGACUAGAGUUGAGUAGAGGGGAGUGGAAUUUCAGGUGUAGCGGUGAAAUGCGUAGAUAUCUGAAGGAACACCAGUGGCGAAGGCGACUCCCUGGACUCAAACUGACGCUGAGGUACGAAAGCGUGGGUAGCAAACAGGAUUAGAUACCCUGGUA
rnacentral:rRNA from 1 species